rnacentral:rRNA from 1 species
UACAGAGGUCCCAAGCAUGGUUCGGAUUCACUGGGCGUAAAGGGUGCGUAGGCGGUCGGGUAAGUCUGAUGUGAAAUCCCCAGGCUUAACCUGGGAACUGCAUUCGAGACUGCAUUGCUAGAGUAUGGGAGAGGGAAGUGGAAUUUCCGGUGUAGCGGUGAAAUGCGUAGAUAUCGGAAGGAACAUCAGUGGCGAAAGCGACUUCCUGGACCAAUACUGACGCUCAUGUGCGAAAGCGUGGGGAGCAAACAGG